rnacentral:tRNA from 1 species
GCGUUCGUAGCUCAAUGGAUAGAGCAUCUGACUUCGGAUCAGAGGGUUGGCGGUUCGACUAGUCCGAGCGCACCA